ACUCAAAUGAAUUGACGGGGACCCGCACAAGCAGCGGAGCAUGUGGUUUAAUUCGAAGAUACGCGAAGAACCUUACCAAGGCUUGACAUCGUAUGACAGAGGUAGAGAUAUCUUUUUCCAGCAAUGGACAUAUAGACAGGUGGUGCAUGGUUGUCGUCAGCUCGUGUCGUGAGAUGUUCGGUUAAGUCCGGCAACGAGCGCAACCCUUAUGGUAUGUUGCCAAUAUUAAGUUAGGAACUCAUAUCAGACUGCCGCGGAUAACGCGGAGGAAGGCGGGGACGACGUCAAAUCAUCAUGCCCCUUACGUCUUGGGCUACACACGUGCUACAAUGGGCGUUACAAAGAGCAGCAAGUUGGCAACAAUAAGCGAAUCUCAAAAAAGCGCUCUCAGUUCAGAUCGUGGGCUGCAACCCGCCCACGUGAAGCAGGAGUUGCUAGUAAUCCCGAAUCAGAAUGUCGGGGUGAAUGCGUUCCCGGGUCUUGUACACACCGCCCGU
rnacentral:rRNA from 1 species